CGGACAGACCUAGUGACUGAAAUCUUCUAUGCCCAGAAUGAGCACUGUAUUAGAGACAGCAAGGCAAGAUUCCCCAAAGGGAAGCUUUAACUCUGACCUGCUAGGACAACCUCUAGGGAGGAGAGGGGAGUUCAGACUUCAUGGCUAUUCAUUCAGUGGCUUCU
ensembl:misc_RNA